CCCUUCCAGUCCAUGUCCAUUCUGCACGACUCUGCCCGACACACCUUCUCCCUCUUCCACGCAACUGCCCCAAACUCCCCCUCUCUCGUACUUAUUCACUUGUUUCUCCUCUAAUACAUUCAAAGCUUAAGUCCAGAGUUAGAUUUGAUUAAGGUUCACAUCUCCAGGCCUAUGAAUUCGGUAGAAUUGCAAUAGUUUGUUGAUUGGCUGUGAUUUACCUGGGUUGCACUGAAUGGCAUCAUGCUGAACAAUGCUUCCAUGUUCCCAGGGAGAAGCGAGCUAGCGUGCUCUCAGGGUUGGAAUUACUUGCACUGUUGAGCUUACCGGAUUUUGUUCAUGAAGCAAGACUCCAAUCAGAAGCAGCUGUAAAAGCAUUAGGGAAUUGGAGGAAGGUUUCGGCUGCAGGAUCCUUCAGUGCCUCUCCUGCACCCCGUGCUCCCAAUGCUGGGGAUCAGCAGGAAGACGUCCUAAAGCAGAGGAAUUAUCUGUAUGAGGAGCGCACUGCACAAGGAGAAGGCAGGACAAGGGGAGAUGAGCCCACAGUGCCUGUCAUUAAUAUUUCAGGAGCAAGAAGAUGGUGCCGCAUAAGGGGAAUCAGGACAAAUGGAACUGCUGUGUUUCAGAGCUGGCUAGAGAGGGCGCUGAUUAGAGACAGGGGAUCUUUGUGGGGUCAACUGUUCUGAUGCAGAGGGGCACGGAGGAUAGACUUGGGGCGUUCGGGUCAGCUCUGCAGCCAGCCUGGCAGAAACUGGCGUGUUCCCAGGGAC
rnacentral:lncRNA from 1 species